UCUGGAACCUGUAAUGACGGUGCAGCAAUUGGUGAAUAAUUUUGUUUGAGUGUUGCAGUUGGUCUAGAACCCGUAACACUCUCUGACCCUGUAUCAUCGCUUCGUUCAUAUUGAAGAAAUGUGUCUUGCGUUGAAGCAGCAGCGUUCGCAGGUAUCGGUCUAGAAAAAGACCCUACAGAGUGCGGAAAUGGCUGCAUUGAAAUCGAUGAAGAUCGUUGAGAUGGUGGAGCUGUUGGUUGUGAUGGCGGUGGUGGAGGUGGAGGUUUUGGUGGUGGGGAAAGACCAGUUGGUUGAACUACAGCUGGAUCCACUGGCUCCAAAUACACCAGUUCAGAUGGCUCCGGUUUGUGGACAACUUCGUAAAUAUGAUGCACCUCGUCUUGCAUAGCUUUGCCUAAGAAGGAAUCCCAGCUUGUGAAGGGACGUUCAUGCCAGGACUUUGACCAGGCAUUGCCUGGAAAUUCGGGAUGUAGACCAUCUGCAUAMCUCUACCACUGGGAUGUGGGAUCAUCAUGGCUGCGUAAUGUUGUUGGUCUCGGACUCGCUCCUUCACGGCCGAACGAAACAACCUUGCCUCUUCUUCGUCACAGAAAUUCAGCCCUGCUCUGCAAUCCUGGAYGGAUUUGUAAAACAACGCGCCAAAAGGAGUUGGACGAUUGCUGUACUGAUAGACUGGGAUAUGUAAUGAAAAGACUAAUGAAAAGAAUCUCUCUCACCGUGUUGUUUUCCUCCUCCGACAAAAGACACGACUGCGCAUGCUUAGACGCAGCGGUCGUCAUUUUCUAUCAACUCUGUUUUCCUCGCUUCUCUGUACUCGUUGAAMCAGCAUACGARUGAUACCAGGAUUGGUUGUGCCGGCAUUAUGACGUCGGGAUAUGUAUUACGUGUGGUACUGAGCGCGCGCACCGUACUCUUAGACCUAGGGCAAACGUCGAACUUUCCAAUGCACCGAGCUUAAUUACAUCAAAGAAUGCCGCCUCAUUAUCACCUGAUAUCCAUUGUUUUUAAUGAGUUCGGUGCAUGGAAAGUUCGACGUUUACCCUAGGCCUUAGGCACUUCUGAUCUGUAGGUCGACUUUUUUUUYCGUACGUUUCUGCGCAUACUCGUCAGCACAUUUUUGCAAUCAGUUUUCGUUUAG